UGGAGAUCCUGCUCCGUCGCCCCAGUGUUCAGACUACCUGUUCAGGACAAUGCCGUUGUACAGUAGUCUGCACAUUGGUUAGACUGGGCAAGGGAGAACA
rnacentral:pre_miRNA from 1 species